rnacentral:rRNA from 1 species
GUGGGGAAUAUUGGACAAUGGGCGAAAGCCUGAUCCAGCAAUGCCGCGUGAGUGAUGAAGGCCCUAGGGUUGUAAAGCUCUUUUACCCGGGAAGAUAAUGACUGUACCGGGAGAAUAAGCCCCGGCUAACUCCGUGCCAGCAGCCGCGGUAAUACGGAGGGGGCUAGCGUUGUUCGGAAUUACUGGGCGUAAAGCGCACGUAGGCGGCUUUGUAAGUCAGAGGUGAAAGCCUGGAGCUCAACUCCAGAACUGCCUUUGAGACUGCAUCGCUUGAAUCCAGGAGAGGUCAGUGGAAUUCCGAGUGUAGAGGUGAAAUUCGUAGAUAUUCGGAAGAACACCAGUGGCGAAGGCGGCUGACUGGACUGGUAUUGACGCUGAGGUGCGAAAGCGUGGGGAGCAAACAGGAUUAGAAACCCCAGUAGUCC